rnacentral:lncRNA from 1 species
UCCGAGCGAAUAAGGAAAAAUCGUAAAAUCCCAACGAAUACCGGGAAAUGGUAGAAUCCGUGCGAGUACCGAAAAACUGUUCGGGCGAGUACCGAAAAAGGGUUGAAUCAGUGUGACUAAAUGAAAAUGGUAGAAUCCGAGCGAAUAACGAAAAAUCGUAAAAUGCCAACGAAUACCGGGAAAUGGUAGAAUCCGUGCGAGUACCGAAAAACUGUUCGGGCGAGUACCGAAAAAGGGUUGAAUCAGUGUGACUAAAUGAAAAUGGUAGAAUCCGAGCGAAUAACGAAAAAUCGUAAAAUCCAACCGAAUACCGGGAAAUGGUAGAAUCCCUGCGAGUAACGAAAAACUAUUCGGGCGAUUACCGGAAAAGGGUUGAAUCAGUGUGACUAAAUGAAAAUGGUAGAACCCGGGCGAAUGUCG